AGAAUUUGAUCCUGGUUCAGAACGAAUGCUAGCGGUGUGUCUGAUUCAUGCAAGUCGAGCGAGAAAUCCUGGGAAACUAGGAGAGUAAAGCGGCGGACUGCGGAGUAAUAUACAGGUAAUCUACCUGUGAGAUCGGGAUAACUCAGCGAAAGCUGUGCUAAUACCGGAUAGGUGCCGGGUCUUCGGACCCGACCAUGAAAGGUUGGUGCCUUUCGGGGUCUUCUGCUCACAGAUGAGCCUGUAGCCUAUUAGCUAGUUGGUGGGGUAACGGCCUACCAAGGCUUAGAUGGGUAGCCGGCCUGAGAGGGUGUCCGGCCCGACUGGAACUGAGAUACUGUCCAGACUCCUACGGGAGGCAGCAGAGGAGGAUCAUGGGCAAUGGGCGCAAGCCUGACCCUGCGACACCGCGUGGGCGAUGAAGGCCUUCGGGUCGUAAAGCCCUGUGAGAGGCUAAGAACAGAUAGAGGGUAAAUAGCCCUUUGUCUUGACUCGUCUCAGAGGAAGGCGCGGCUGACUACGUGCCAGCAGCAGCGGUAAUACGUAGGCGCCAAGCAUUGUUCGGAAUUACUGGGCGUAAAGGGCGCCUAGGUGGAUGGGUAAGUCGGGUGUGAAAUCCCUCGGCUCAACCGAGGAAUCGCGUUCGAUACUGCUCGUCUUGAGUGCAGAAGGGGAGAGUGGAACUCCUGGUGUAGCGGUGAAAUGCGUUGAUAUCAGGAUGAACGCCGGUGGCGAAAGCGGCUCUCUAGUCUGUUACUGACACUGACGCGCGAAAGCCAGGGGAGCAAACGGGAUUAGAUACCCCGGUAGUCCUGGCCGUAAACGAUGGGUACUAGGUAGUGGGAAUUCCGAUGUUCUCUCUGCCGUAGUUAACGCGUUAAGUACCCCGCCUGGGGAGUACGGCCGCAAGGCUAAAACUCAAAGGAAUUGACGGGGGCCCGCACAAGCGGUGGAGUAUGUGGCUCAAUUCGAGGCAACGCGAAGAACCUUAUCCUGGGCUUGACAUGCUGGUGGUACCAACCCGAAAGGGAAGGGAUCAUGGUUUCCAUGAAGCCAGCACAGGUGCUGCAUGGCUGUCGUCAGCUCGUGUGGUGAGAUGUCGGGUUAAGUCCCAUAACGAGCGAAACCCCUGCCUCUAGUUGCCAGCGGGUGAUGCCGGGGACUCUAGAGGGACUGCCUCGGUUAACGGGGAGGAAGGUGGGGAUGACGUCAAGUCCUCAUGGCCCUUAUGCCCAGGGCUGCACACGUACUACAAUGGCCGGUACAGAGGGACGCAAGAGCGCGAGCUGGAGCAAAUCCCAUAAAGCCGGUCUCAGUUCGGAUUGGAGGCUGCAACCCGCCUCCAUGAUAGCCGGAAUCGCUAGUAAUCGCGGAUCAGCACGCCGCGGUGGAUAUGUUCCCGGGCCUUGUACACACCGCCCGUCAAGCCACCAAAGUUCGGGAUACCCGAAGUCGCCGAGCCAACCCGUAAGGGAGGCAAGCGCCGACGGUAGAUCGAGUGAUGGUGACUAAGUCGUAACAAGGU
rnacentral:rRNA from 1 species